rnacentral:rRNA from 1 species
UACGGAGGGUGCAAGCGUUAAUCGGAAUUACUGGGCGUAAAGCGUGCGCAGGCGGUUUGUUAAGUCCGUUGUGAAAGCCCCGAGCUCAACUUGGGAAUUGCAGUGGAUACUGGCAGGCUGGAGUACGGUAGAGGAAGGUGGAAUUCCCGGUGUAGCAGUGAAAUGCGUAGAUAUCGGGAGGAACACCAGUGGCGAAAGCGGCUCACUGGACCAUAACUGACGCUGAUGCACGAAAGCUAGGGGAGCAAACGGG